rnacentral:pre_miRNA from 13 species
GCCCGGCACGGGAAAAUCGAUUUUCCCGUGCGAUCCUUCUAAACGGACCGCACGGGAAAAUAAGCCGAUUUUCCCGUGCGGAU